rnacentral:lncRNA from 1 species
ACCAGCCAUCCAGCAUUAAAAACAAUCUAAAUUAAGAAUAUCACUAUUCCAUAUCCCACAAUUAAUAAUUAUUUUAUAUAACUUUUGCCUUUUGAGUAAAUUACAAAAAUUUUCUUAAAAUUAGAAAUAAAUAACACUAAAAAACCUAUGCUUGCCCCACUGAAGUUUAUUUUUAUCUAAUACUUCAACCUAUAACUUAAUAAAACAUUAGUAAAACCGUUAACUUUUAAUAAUAUUCUAAUGCCACGUAAAAAAAAAUCAAAAUAAUCUUAAAAUAUCUUUUUGAGAUUUAUACUUAUUACACUUAUACCCAAUAUUUUAUAAAAACCUACACUUGCACCUAUUUAAAUUGACAGCAUUAGUAAAACUAUUUAUCUACUAUAAGAAGCUAAAUUAUCUCUAUAAAAAAAAUAAAGCACCUAUUUUACUUUUUUGACCUUCAAAACUCUUCAAAGUAUUACGUCUUCAAAAGUUU